rnacentral:rRNA from 1 species
UACGGGGGGGGCAAGCGUUGUUCGGAAUUAUUGGGCGUAAAGGGUUUGUAGGUGGCUUGCUAAGUCAGACGUGAAAUCCCUCAGCUUAACUGGGGAACUGCGUCUGAGACUGGCAAGCUUGAGUGCAGGAGAGGAACGCGGAAUUCCAGGUGUAGCGGUGAAAUGCGUAGAUAUCUGGAGGAACACCGGUGGCGAAGGCGGCGUGCUGGACUGUAACUGACACUGAGGAACGAAAGCCAGGGGAGCAAACGGG